AGUGAACGCUGGCGGUAGGCCUAACACAUGCAAGUCGAACGGCAGCACAGUAAGAGCUUGCUCUUACGGGUGGCGAGUGGCGGACGGGUGAGGAAUACAUCGGAAUCUACUUUUUCGUGGGGGAUAACGUAGGGAAACUUACGCUAAUACCGCAUACGACCUACGGGUGAAAGCAGGGGAUCUUCGGACCUUGCGCGAUUGAAUGAGCCGAUGUCGGAUUAGCUAGUUGGCGGGGUAAAGGCCCACCAAGGCGACGAUCCGUAGCUGGUCUGAGAGGAUGAUCGGCCACACUGGAACUGAGACACGGUCCAGACUCCUACGGGAGGCAGCAGUGGGGAAUAUUGGACAAUGGGCGCAAGCCUGAUCCAGCCAUACCGCGUGGGUGAAGAAGGCCUUCGGGUUGUAAAGCCCUUUUGUUAGGAAAGAAAAGCAGCAGGUUAAUACCCCGCUGUUCUGACGGUACCCAAAGAAUAAGCACCGGCUAACUUCGUG
rnacentral:rRNA from 1 species